GACGAACGCUGGCGGCGUGCUUAACACAUGCAAGUCGAACGGAAAGGCCCUGCUUUUGUGGGGUGCUCGAGUGGCGAACGGGUGAGUAUCACGUGAGUAACCUGCCCUUGACUUUGGGAUAACUUCAGGAAACUGGGGCUAAUACCGGAUAGGAGCUCCUGCUGCAUGGUGGUCGUUGGAAAGUUUCGGCGGUUGGGGAUGGACUCGCGGGUUAUCAGCUUGUUGGUGGGGUAGUGGCUUACCAAGGCUUUGACGGGUAGCCGGCCUGAGAGGGUGACCGGCGACAUUGGGACUGAGAUACGGCCCAGAAUCCUACGGGAGGCAGCAGUGGGGAAUAUUGCACAAUGGGCGGAAGCCUGAUGCAGCAGCGCCGCGUGCGGGAUGACGGCCUUCGGGUGGUAAACCGCUUUCGCAUGUGACGAAGCGUGAGUGACGGUAAUGGGUAAAGAAGCACCGGCUAACUACGUG
rnacentral:rRNA from 1 species